rnacentral:rRNA from 1 species
AUGAUUCGGUGAAAAUUCUGGACUUUGGUUUCGACGCCCCCGGGCGACUUAAUCGGAGAAAGUUAUUUAAACCUCAUCAUUUAGAGGAAGGUGAAGUCGUAACAAGGUUUCCGUAGGUGAACCUGCGGAAGGAUCAUUACCACUCUCUUUACCAAGCUAGGCUUCGUGCCUAGAUUGGUAUCCGAACCGCGUACCACUAUUUUUGAAUACUUUUGUAUUCUUUUGUUUUCACCUCUCUGAGUGUGAAUCUAUAAGUCAUUAAAAGAAAUAAAACAAACCUAUACACUUCUAGCAACGGAUGUCUAGGCUCUCACAACGAUGAAGAACGCAGCGAAAUGCGAUACGUCAUGCGAAUUGCAGAAUCCAGUGAGUCAUCAAAAUUUUGAACGCACCUUGCACUGCUUUAGCAGUAUGUCUGUUGGAGUGUCUGUAUCAAUACAGGUAAAUCUUACCUUAGACGAUACCCUCUCCAGGGCGAUCCUAGAUUCGACUCUCGAACUCAGAACAUGUGGUGAGAAAUCUAUCGCAUUUGUUCGAAUUCAAGAGGAUUUUUAUCGAUCGGACCUCCAAUCAGGCACGACCACCCGCUGAAUUUAAGCAAA